rnacentral:other from 1 species
AUGAGGCUGCCCCGCCGGUCAGGAGACCACAUACCCAGGGGCCUUAAACCACCCGAAGGGAGCUGUCCCUGCCCGGAUCGUGGUCCGGCGUAUAUGGCGCCCACCUGUAGAAACAGGCGCCCGGGGGUUUGUACACUCCAACCGCGGCGGCGGCUUCACU